rnacentral:lncRNA from 1 species
GGCCGGUCGGACCGGUCCGGCCGGGAACCGUAAUACACACCGAGCCGGUUCACUAUGUAAAACCGUUUCUGCAGCAAGCCGGCGGUCGGGCCGGCCGGUUACGUGCAAUCAGGUCAGACGGGUUAUGUUUAAUUUUUUUUAAUUGAUGGAAAUAUAACAAUAACAAAACCUAAUCAGGUUCUUUUCUUUCUGUACGCCUCCAUAGUCCAUCCAGUUCUUUUCUUCUGUACGCAGCUUCUUCAGGUUCUGAAUCCAAGCAUCAUCGAUCGAUCUCUCAUCCUUCCAAGCCUCAUCAGUCAUCGAUCUCGUCUCAUCCUUCCAUCUCGGUCUCGAUUCCUUUCAGGUUCGAAUGCUCGAUUCUGUUAAAUCUUGGUUUGAUUAAUCUCAGUGUAAUGUGUUUGAUAAUUAGUUCAGUUGAUUCUCAGUGUUAAUUAAUCUCGGUCUCGAUUCUCUGUACAGUUGAUUGUUGUAUGCAUUUUCUCGAUUCUUGAUUGUUGUGUUUGAUAAUUGAUAGAUUUGUGUUUAAAAGUGACAAAUUUCUCGAUUCAGUUUCUGUUAAAGACUUAAAUCACUCGGUUCUUGCAGGAUUUGUGUUUGAUACUUGAUACUUGAUAGUUAAUUGAAGUGAAUUUGACAGUGAUGUUAUAUAAAUAUUAAUGAUUUUCACCGUACAGUUUGUUUCCACAAACGAAUGAUUUUCACCUUGAGUUUGUAG